rnacentral:rRNA from 1 species
UACGGAGGGUGGCAAGCGUUAUCCGGAUUUACUGGGUUUAAAGGGUGCGUAGGCGGGCUUUUAAGUUAGCGGUGAAAUCUCCGGGCUCAACCCGGAAAUUGCCGUUGAUACUAUUAGUCUUGAAUUAAGUUGAGGUGGGCGGAAUAAGUCAUGUAGCGGUGAAAUGCUUAGAUAUGAUACAGAACACCUAUUGCGAAAGCAGCUCACUAAACUUGCAACUGACGCUGAGGCACGAAAGCGUGGGGAUCAAAAC